CGGAGGGUGCUAACGUUAUCCGGAAUCACUGGGCGUAAAGCGCAUGUAGGUGGCUUGGUAAGUGGACGAUUAAAGACCGAUGCCUAACAUCGGGAAUGUUGUCUAUACUGCCUGGCUUGAGGAAGACAGGGGCAAGCGGAACUUUAGGUGUAGGGGUGAAAUCCGUAGAUAUCUAAAGGAACACCAAUGGCGAAGGCAGCUUGCUGGGUCUUUUCUGACACUGAGAUGCGAAAGCGUGGGGAGCGAACGGGAUUAGAUACCCCGGUAGUCCACGCCGUAAACGAUGCCGACUAGGUCUUGGGGAGUAUCGACCCUCCUUUGGACCGAAGCUAACGCGUUAAGUCGGCCGCCUGGGGAGUACGAGCGCAAGCUUA
rnacentral:rRNA from 1 species